GUUUCGUGGCCGAGUGGAUAAAGCGGUGGUGUUUUAAGCGAAAGGUAGCGGGUUCGAGUCCCAGAAUGAACAU
rnacentral:tRNA from 1 species